GGAGAGGUGGCCGAGCGGUCGAAGGCGCACGCUUGGAAAGCGUGUGUGCGCUUCGCGCGUACCGGGGGUUCGAAUCCCCCUCUCUCCG
rnacentral:tRNA from 1 species